rnacentral:rRNA from 1 species
CGUCAGCUCGUGUCGUGAGAUGUUGGGUUAAGUCCCGCAACGAGCGCAACCCUUGUCUUAAUUGCCAUCAUUCAGUUGGGCACUUUAAAGAGACUGCCGGUGUUAAACCGGAGGAAGUGGGGAUGACGUCAAGUCCUCAUGGCCUUUAUGCCCAGGGCUACACACGUGCUACAAUGGGUGGUACAGAGGGUUGCCAAGCCGCGAGGUGGAGCCAAUCCCAGAAAGCCGAUCGUAGUCCGGAUCGGAGUCUGCAACUCGACUCCGUGAAGUCGGAAUCGCUAGUAAUCGUGGAUCAGCAUGCCACGGUGAAUACGUUCCCGGGUCUU